CACGGCUGCCUUGUAAACAAAAACCAAGGACAUAACACUUACAUGAAUUGUUUUUAUACAGACCUCCCCUGUUCCAGCCCAUCUAAUGACCUUUUUGACAAGUACCUGGAACUCUGUGCCCCUAAGUGGAUUUCACUCUGUACUGAAUAACUGUUCAGCCACGUCAUAUCCUUUGUGGAAUGAGGUGGUCGUCAACCUUGGCUACACAUUAGAAUCACCUGAAGAGUUUUUAAAUCCUGAUGCUCAAGCUUCGCCCUAGACCAAGUAAAUCAGAAUUUCUGUCAUCGGUACUUGUUAAAGUUCCACAGAUGAUUCUAGUGUGCAUUUUACGUUGAAAACAAUUGCUUACCUAGAUCUGAACUAGAGUCAAAGCUUGCCAAAGGGCCACGCCUGUGGCACAUGAAGGCUACCAGGCUAGGCGUCAGAUCAGAGCUCUAGCUGCCGGCCUACACCACAGCCAGAGCAACCCAGAAUCUGAGCUGCGUCUGCGACCUACACCACAGCUCACGGCAACACUGGAUCCUUAACCCACUGAGCGAGGCCGGGGAUCCAACCUGCAAUCUCAUGGUUCCUAGUCGGAUUCAUUUCCAUUUCUCCAGGAUGGGAACUCCAGCUUUUUAACUAUUCUCUGUCCUUCGAAAUUUCACGAGAACUUUACAACCAGCUUGUAAAUGCCUUUUUAAAUAAUCCGGCCAUGAUUCUGAUUGGGAUGGUUUUGACUCUGUAGUUCAAUUUAUGGAGGGUUGACAUCAUAAUAAUAUGAAGCCUUCCCCUCAUGAGUGAUUUCCAUCCCACUUUUUUAGAUCUUUAAUUUCUCUUUGUAUUUUUCAGUAUAAUUGUUGUGCACAUUUUUUGUUAAAUUUUUAUUUCUAAGUAUUUUGUUUUGAUGCUUUUGUAAAUGGCAUUAUUUUUAAAAUUUCACAUAUGGCCCAGUAGCAUAAAAUAUCUUGAUGAAUAUUCAAUGUGCACUUGUAAAGAAUGUACUCUGCAACUAUUGGAUCAUCUAAAUAUGUCAAUUAGGUCAAGUUGGUAAGACUAUUACUCAAAUCUUCUAUAUCCUUAUUGAUAUUUUGUCUAUUUAUUCUAUCAUACACUGAAAGAGCAGUAUUAAAAGGGCAGUAUGACUGCAGGUCUAUUUCUCUCGUCAAUUUUUGCUUUUGCAUGUGUUGAAGCUCUGUUAUUCCCUGCAUACGUGCUUGGGAUUGUUAUAUUUUCUUGACUGAUUGGCCUUUUAUUGUUGCAAUAUCAUUCUUUGUUCCUGGAAAUACUCUUUGUCUUUAAAUUUGCUUGGCCUCAUAUAUGUAAAUACUAGCUUUCUGAUGCUCAGUGUUUGCAUCGUAUAGAGAAGCAGAUAGUUUGAAAAUGAAUGAGGGUAAAAAAAAAUCUAUGUCUCUGUAUUUAAGUGCAUCUCUUGUAAACAGCAUAUGAUUGAGUCUUGCUUUUCAUCCAGGCUGACAACACUUUUUUUUUUUUUUUUUAA